CCUACGGGUGGCAGCAGUGGGGAAUAUUGGACAAUGGGGGGAACCCUGAUCCAGCCAUGCCGCGUGUGUGAAGAAGGCCCUCGGGUUGUAAAGCACUUUCAGUGAGGAAGAACGCCUGGUGGUUAAUACCCAUCAGGAAAGACAUCACUCACAGAAGAAGCACCGGCUAACUCCGUGCCAGCAGCCGCGGUAAUACGAGGGUGCGAGCGUUAAUCGGAAUUACUGGGCGUAAAGCGCGCGUAGGUGGCUUGAUAAGCCGGUUGUGAAAGCCCCGGGCUCAACCUGGGAACGGCAUCCGGAACUGUCAAGCUAGAGUGCAGGAGAGGAAGGUAGAAUUCCCGGUGUAGCGGUGAAAUGCGUAGAGAUCGGGAGGAAUACCAGUGGCGAAGGCGGCCUUCUGGACUGACACUGACACUGAGGUGCGAAAGCGUGGGUAGCAAACAGGAUUAGAUACCCCAGUAGUC
rnacentral:rRNA from 1 species